GCCAUUCCUCUAAUGGCUGCUUCCGGGAAGGCUCUGUCACGUGGAACCUCUUAGCCUCAGCGAUCUGGAACUCCAGGAAGGGACUCUUUCGAAUCAGAAUUUUACGUAAAUCCUUUUUUUGAAACCUUCAGCCCUCAAGAUCCAGAUACCUGAAGAUCCCAACAUCAUGACCUCAGUUUCAACACAGUUGCUCUUGGUCCUCAUUUCAGUGCUUUUGGUGCUGCCUGUUGUUGAAGCAGUAGAAGCUGGAGAUGCAGUCGCUCUCUUGUUAGGUGUGGCUCUCAGCAUUACAGGCAUUUGUGCUUGUUUGGGGGUAUAUGCACGAAAGAGGAAUGGACAAAUGUGAUUUUGAUGGGCCUUGUGCGUCAAACCUUGCCUGGAAAACCUUUGUGUUAUUGAGGUUAAAAACUGAGCUUUAAUGUCUAAAAGUUCCCAAGAAAUAGGGUAUUUUCACAUUCUUGUCUCCCUGUAAAUUGGAACAAAUUAAUAUAUGUUAAAUGGGGAAAAAAAAGGUUUCUUCACAACAAAUAAUGCACUGAAAAAAGCAGUUUAUAAUUCAUAUAUGCUAGUUAGAGGGUCAAAGAAGUCAGAUGACUGAAAUUUACAUAUUAUUUCAUAAUUUCUUGGGAUUCUCAAAGCGCAUGAAAUAGGAAGAAGGAAACCCUUGCCCAAAGUCCUAGGAAAUUGCCAAUUCCUCUCUCACUGAGGAGUCUUUUCUCCAUAUUUUUAUUAGAUUUUUGUUUUGUUAACUCCCAACUUAAUAAUCAAAUACAGUCAGAAAUUAAAAUUUUUAUUUCUUGGGGGAGAUAAGAAAAAUGUAUUCAAUGUAUCUCAUGUUAAAAUGGAGACAAUAUUUAAUGUAAAAAAUAUAUUGACAUUGAAAUGGAGAAAUUUAAUGUUAAAAAAACCUUUGUAUUAACAUCUCUAUGAUGAGAAGUUACUAUAUAAAAUAUAAACUCA